rnacentral:rRNA from 1 species
AGCGAACGCUGGCGGCAGGCCUAACACAUGCAAGUCGAACGAACCCUUCGGGGUUAGUGGCGGACGGGUGAGUAACACGUGGGAACGUGCCUUUAGGUUCGGAAUAGCUCCUGGAAACGGGUGGUAAUGCCGAAUGUGCCCUUCGGGGGAGAGAUUUAUCGCCUUUAGAGCGGCCCGCGUCUGAUUAGCUAGUUGGUGAGGUAAUGGCUCACCAAGGCGACGAUCAGUAGCUGGUCUGAGAGGAUGACCAGCCACAUUGGGACUGAGACACGGCCCAACUCCUACGGGAGGCAGCAGUGGGGAAUCUUGCGCAAUGGGCGAAAGCCUGACGCAGCCAUGCCGCGUGGAUGAUGAAGGUCUUAGGAUUGUAAAAUCCUUUCACCGGUGAAGAUAAUGACUGUAGCCGGAGAAGAAGCCCCGGCUAACUUCGUGCCAGCCGCCGCGGUAAUAC